UCAAAUUUGAAAUCUGGGUCUUUCAGGCUCCGAGUUGUAAUUUGUAGAAGAUGCUUUGGGUGCGGCCCCGGUCUAAGUUCCUUGGAACAGGACGUCAUAGAGGGUGAGAAUCCCGUAUGUGAUCGGUGGCCUGCGCCCGUGUAAAGCUCUUUCGACGAGUCGGGUUGUUUGGGAAUGCAGCUCUAAAUGGGUGGUAAAUUUCAUCUAAAGCUAAAUACUGGCCAGAGACCGAUAGCGCACAAGUAGAGUGAUCGAAAGAUGAAAAGGACUUUGGAAAGAGAGUUAAACAGUACGUGAAAUUGUUGAAAGGGAAGCGCUUGCAACCAGACUUGCGCGGGGUUGAUCAUCCGGGGUUCUCCCCGGUGCACUCGGCCUCGCUCAGGCCAGCAUCGGUUUCGGUGGUUGGAUAAAGGCCUUGGGAAUGUGGCUCCUCUCGGGGAGUGUUAUAGCCCUCGGUGCAAUGCAGCCUACUGGGACCGAGGACCGCGCUUCGGCUAGGAUGCUGGCGUAAUGGUUGUAAGCGACCCGUCUUGAAACACGGACCAAGGAGUCUAACAUCUAUGCGAGUGUUUGGGUGUCAAACCCAUACGCGUAAUGAAAGUGAACGGAGGUGAGAACCCUUAAGGGUGCAUCAUCGACCGAUCCUGAUGUCUUCGGAUGGAUUUGAGUAGGAGCAUAGCUGUUGGGACCCGAAAGA
rnacentral:rRNA from 1 species